rnacentral:rRNA from 1 species
UACGUAGGGGGCAAGCGUUGUCCGGAAUUAUUGGGCGUAAAGAGCGUGUAGGCGGUCCGGUAAGUCAGCUGUGAAAGUCAAGGGCUCAACCCUUGAAAGCCGGUUGAUACUGUCGGGCUAGAGUCCGGAAGAGGCGAGUGGAAUUCCCGGUGUAGCGGUGAAAUGCGCAGAUAUCGGGAGGAACACCAAUGGCGAAGGCAGCUUUCUGGGACGGUACUGACGCUGAGACGCGAAAGCGUGGGGAGCGAACAGG